rnacentral:rRNA from 1 species
GUGGGACUAAGCCAUGCGAGUCAACAUAGCAAUAUGUGGCAUACGGCUCAGUAACACGUAGUCAACAUGCCCAGGGGACGUGGAUAACCUCGGGAAACUGAGGAUAAACCACGAUAGGUCAUCACUUCUGGAAUGGGUAAUGACUUAAAUCUAUAUGGCCCCUGGAUUGGACUGCGGCCGAUCAGGCUGUUGGUGAGGUAAUGGCCCACCAAACCUGUAACCGGUACGGGCUCUGAGAGGAGGAGCCCGGAGAUGGGCACUGAGACAAGGGCCCAGGCCCUAUGGGGCGCAGCAGGCGCGAAACCUCUGCAAUAGGCGAAAGCUUGACAGGGUUACUCUGAGUGAUUUCCGUUAAGGAGAUCUUUUGGCACCUCUAAAAAUGGUGCAGAAUAAGGGGUGGGCAAGUCUGGUGUCAGCCGCCGCGGUAAUACCAGCACCCCGAGUGGUCGGGACGUUUAUUGGGCCUAAAGCAUCCGUAGCCGGUUCUACAAGUCUUCCGUUAAAUCCACCUGCUUAACAGAUGGGCUGCGGAAGAUACUAUAGAGCUA